CCGAGUUAGGGUGCUUCUCAGCGCCCGACCUCCCAACCCUUUGUCUAUGAUACCUUACAGUUGCUUCGGCGUGCCGAGGAGUUCGCUUCUCGCCUGGGACUCGUUCCGGGAGCGCGCCCGCCGAUGGCCUCAACUUAACACUUGAACCCAAACCCUGUCGUCUGAAAACUUGUGAUUAUCAUAAUCAAAAACA
rnacentral:misc_RNA from 1 species